UGAGCCUCUUUGCAGCAACAUGACAACUCUCUAGAGUUACCGCUCCAAACGUGAUCCGGAUGCAUCCAGACACGCCACAAGCGCUUCCAGGGAGAACCACCACACUAUGUCUAUGAGCGAGCCAGCAAACAACUUCAAAAUCGUCGUUCAAGUACUUUUCAGGGAGCCUGGCCCAUAGCUUCUAAGCAGUAGAGUGCUAGAUACUGCGAUAUUAUCGGAGCACAGAUGGCUACAUUGUCCUGAACCUUGAGAAGCUGAGUUCUUAGAGCCUUUGCCUCAGACGGGUAAGCUAUCUGAAAAGAAUCAAGUAAAAUUUAUAUGAUAUUUACAAGAUAAGUAAAAAUAAAAUGGACUAAUAAUAGAAUAAAAAACCAAUUGUGUACA